GUGAGGCAUGGGAGGUGCGGGCGGACAGGAAGAUGAGCCUCGCUGACGCAUUCAUUAUGGACUGUAACGGCGCAAGUUGGGAGAAUGUAAGACCACUGAGAAGCGGAUUAAAGUAGUCACGGCGAGAAAGGACAGUGGAAUGGACCAACACCCUAGUCGCAUCUAGUGUUAAGUAGGGCGGAUGCGCACAAUGUUUGUGAGAUGGAAAUGAC